CGGUGUCUCCUGGCGGAACUGGCAUGGGGAGAGGUAGGGUCUUUCAGCCUCUCCAAAGCCCAUGGUCAGGUAAUCAGGUGGGGGAGCCCUG
ensembl:miRNA